UGUGAUUCGUCACACUAUCAUUAACUGAAUCCAUAGGUUAAUGAGGCGAACCGGGGGAACUGAAACAUCUAAGUACCCCGAGGAAAAGAAAUCAACCGAGAUUCCCCCAGUAGCGGCGAGCGAACGGGGAGGAGCCCAGAGCCUGAAUCAGUGUGUGUGUUAGUGGAAGCGUCUGGAAAGGCGCGCGAUACAGGGUGACAGCCCCGUACACAAAAAUGCACAUGCUGUGAGCUCGAUGAGUAGGGCGGGACACGUGGUAUCCUGUCUGAAUAUGGGGGGACCAUCCUCCAAGGCUAAAUACUCCUGACUGACCGAUAGUGAACCAGUACCGUGAGGGAAAGGCGAAAAGAACCCCGGCGAGGGGAGUGAAAAAGAACCUGAAACCGUGUACGUACAAGCAGUGGGAGCACGCUUAGGCGUGUGACUGCGUACCUUUUGUAUAAUGGGUCAGCGACUUAUAUUCUGUAGCAAGGUUAACCGAAUAGGGGAGCCGAAGGGAAACCGAGUCUUAACUGGGCGUUAAGUUGCAGGGUAUAGACCCGAAACCCGGUGAUCUAGCCAUGGGCAGGUUGAAGGUUGGGUAACACUAACUGGAGGACCGAACCGACUAAUGUUGAAAAAUUAGCGGAUGACUUGUGGCUGGGGGUGAAAGGCCAAUCAAACCGGGAGAUAGCUGGUUCUCCCCGAAAGCUAUUUAGGUAGCGCCUCGUGAAUUCAUCUCCGGGGGUAGAGCACUGUUUCGGCAAGGGGGUCAUCCCGACUUACCAACCCGAUGCAAACUGCGAAUACCGGAGAAUGUUAUCACGGGAGACACACGGCGGGUGCUAACGUCCGUCGUGAAGAGGGAAACAACCCAGACCGCCAGCUAAGGUCCCAAAGUCAUGGUUAAGUGGGAAACGAUGUGGGAAGGCCCAGACAGCCAGGAUGUUGGCUUAGAAGCAGCCAUCAUUUAAAGAAAGCGUAAUAGCUCACUGGUCGAGUCGGCCUGCGCGGAAGAUGUAACGGGGCUAAACCAUG
rnacentral:rRNA from 1 species